CCUACGGGAGGCAGCAGUAGGGAAUCUUGCACAAUGGAGGAAACCCUGAUGCAGCGACGCCGCGUGAGUGAAGAAGGAUUUCGGUAUGUAAAGCUCUAUCAGCAGGGAAGAACGUGACGGUACCUGGUUAAUCCGCCCCGGCUAACUACGUUCCAACAGCCGCGGUGCUACGUAGGGGGCAAGCGUUGUCCGGAUUUACUGGGUGGAAAGGGAGGGUAGACGGCAGCAAAAGACUGGAGUGAAAUGCCGGGGCUUAAACCCGGAGAUGCUUUGGAAACUGUGCAGCUAGAGUGCAGGAGAGGUGAGUGGAAUUCCUAGUGUAGCGGUGAAAUGCGUAGAUAUUAGGAGGAACACCAGUGGCGAAGGCGGCUUACUGGACUGUAACUGACGUUGAGGCUCGAAAGCGUGGGGAGCAAACAGGAUUAGAUACCCCAGUAGUC
rnacentral:rRNA from 1 species